AUACGUAGGGGGCGAGCGUUGUCCGGAAUGAUUGGGCGUAAAGGGCGCGUAGGCGGCCCGGUAAGUCUGGAGUGAAAGUCCUGUUUUUAAGAUGGGAAUUGCUUUGGAUACUGUCGGGCUUGAGUGCAGGAGAGGUAAGUGGAAUUCCCAGUGUAGCGGUGAAAUGCGUAGAGAUUGGGAGGAACACCAGUGGCGAAGGCGACUUACUGGGCUGUAACUGACGCUGAGGCGCGAAAGUGUGGGGAGCAAACAGGAUUAGAUACCCUGGUAGUCCACACUGUAAACGAUGAAUGCUAGGUGUAGGGGGUAUCGACCCCUUCUGUGCCGCAGUCAACACAAUAAGCAUUCCGCCUGGGGAGUACGGCCGCAAGGUUGAAACUCAAAGGAAUUGACGGGG
rnacentral:rRNA from 1 species